rnacentral:rRNA from 1 species
UACGUAGGGUGCAAGCGUUGUCCGGAAUUAUUGGGCGUAAAGAGCUCGUAGGCGGUUUGUCGCGUCUGCUGUGAAAACUCGGGGCUUAACCCCGGGCCUGCAGUGGGUACGGGCAGACUAGAGUGCGGUAGGGGAGACUGGAAUUCCUGGUGUAGCGGUGGAAUGCGCAGAUAUCAGGAGGAACACCGAUGGCGAAGGCAGAUCUCUGGGCCGUGAACUGACGCUGAGGAGCGAAAGCAUGGGGAGCGAACAGG